rnacentral:rRNA from 1 species
GGGUAACGGCUCACCAAGGCGACGACGGGUAGCGGGACUGAGAGGUUGGCCCGCAACAUCGGGACUGAGACACUGCCCGGACCUCCACGGAGGGCUGCAGUAACGAAUAUUGGGCAAUGAGCGAAAGCUUGACCCAGCGACGCCGCGUGUAGGAGGAAGUCUUUCGGGAUGUAAACUACUGUCAGGGGGACGAAAGUGCGCUUCGGUGCAUUGAUCGAACCCAGAGGAAGUCACGGCUAACUUCGUGCCAGCAGCCGCGGUAAGACGAAGGUGGCAAGCGUUGUUCGGUAUUACUGGGCUUAAAGCGUGUGUAGGCGGAAGCGUAAGCGUUUUGUGAAAUCCCUCGGCUUAACCGAGGAAUUGCUUGGCGAACUGCGUUUCUUGAGGCAGGUAGGGGUGCGCAGAACUCUUGGUGGAGCGGUGGAAUGCGUAGAUAUCAAGAGGAAUGCCGGUGGAGAAGUCGGUGCACUGGGCCUGACCUGACGCUGAGACACGAAAGCGUGGGAGCGAACGGGAUUAGAUACCCCGGUAGUCCACGCCGUAAACGAUGCCUACUAGGUUGUGGUGGUUCUGACGCCAGCACAGCCGAAGCUAAAGUGUUAAGUAGGCCGCCUGGGGAGUACGGUCGCAAGGCUAAAACUCAAAGGAAUUGACGGGGGCUCACACAAGCGGUGGAGCAUGUGGAUUAAUUCGAAACAACGCGCAGAACCUUACCAGGGUUUGACAUGCUUGGAUGCCGCCGAGGAAACUCGGUUAGGCUGCCUUCGGGUGAAACUUGCACAGGUGCUGCAUGGCUGUCGUCAGCUCGUGUCGUGAGAUGUCGGGUUAAGUCCCUUAACGAGCGAAACCCUUGCCGCUAGUUGCCAGCGAGUCAUGCCGGGGACUCUAGCGGGACUGCCGGUGUUAAACCGGAGGAAGGUGGGGAUGACGUCAAGUCAUCAUGGCCUUUAUGCCCUGGGCUUCACACGUGCUACAAUGGUCAGAACAGAGCGACGCAAGACCGUGAGGUGGAGCAAAUCGCAAAAAUCGGGCCCCAGUUCGGAUUGCAGGCUGGCAACUCGCCUGCAUGAAGGUGGAAUCGCUAGUAAUCGCGUAUCAGCGAUGACGCGGUGAAUGUGUUCCUGAGCCUUGUACACACCGCCCGUCAAGUGAUGGGAGUUGGGAGUACCCGAAGUCGUCUUGCUAACCCCUCGGGGAGGCGGAUGCCGACGGUAAGCCCGAUGACUGGCACUAAGUCGGAACAAGGUA